AUGUCGGCUCAUCACAUCCUGGGGCUGAAGAAGGUCCCAAGGGUUGGGCUGUUCGCCCAUUAAAGUGGUACGUGAGCUGGGUUUAGAACGUCGUAAGACAGUUCGGUCCCUAUCUUUUACGGGCGUAGGAAAUUUGAGUGGAGCUGCCGCUAGUAUGAGAAGACCGUGGUGGACGAACCUCUGGUGCACCAGUUGUCACGCCUGUGGCAUCGCUGGGUAGCUAUGUUCGGAAAGGAUAAAUGCUGAAAGCAUCUAAGCAUGAAGCCUUCCUCAAGAUAAGAUUUCCCACAGAGUUAAUCUGGUAAGACCCCUUGUAGAUAACGAGGUUGAUAGGCCAAGUGUGUAAGCGCGGUGACGUGUUUAGCUAAUUGGUACUAAUUGGUCGAGGGCUUAACUUA
rnacentral:rRNA from 1 species